GAUGAACGCUGGCGGCGUGCCUAAUACAUGCAAGUCGAGCGAACAGACGAGGAGCUUGCUCCUCUGACGUUAGCGGCGGACGGGUGAGUAACACGUGGAUAACCUACCUAUAAGACUGGGAUAACUUCGGGAAACCGGCGCUAAUACCGGAUAAUAUAUUGAACCGCAUGGUUCAAUAGUGAAAUACGGUUUUGCUGUCACUUAUAGAUGGAUCCGCGCCGCAUUAGCUAGUUGGUAAGGUAACGGCUUACCAAGGCAACGAUGCGUAGCCGACCUGACAGGGGGAUAGGACACACUGGAAGUGGGACACGGUCAAGACGCCUAAGGGAGGCAGCAGUAGGGAAUCUGCCGCAAUGGGCGAAAGCUUGACGGAGCAACGCCGAGUGAGUGAUGAAGGUCUUCGGAUCGUAAAACUCUGUUAUUAGGGAAGAACAAAUGUGUAAGUAACUAUGCACGUCUUGACGGUACCUAAUCAGAAAGCCACGGCUAACUACGUG
rnacentral:rRNA from 1 species